rnacentral:rRNA from 1 species
UAGGGAAUCUUCGGCAAUGGACGAAAGUCUGACCGAGCAACGCCGCGUGAGUGAAGAAGGUUUUCGGAUCGUAAAACUCUGUUGUUAGAGAAGAACAAGGACGUUAGUAACUGAACGUCCCCUGACGGUAUCUAACCAGAAAGCCACGGCUAACUACGUGCCAGCAGCCGCGGUAAUACGUAGGUGGCAAGCGUUGUCCGGAAUUAUUGGGCGUAAAGCGAGCGCAGGCGGUUGCUUAAGUCUGAUGUGAAAGCCCCGGGCUCAACCGGGGAGGGGCAUUAGAAACUGGGUGACUUGGGUGCAGGAGAGGAGAGUAGAAUUCCGUGUGUAGCGGUGAAAUGCGUAGAUAUAGGGAGGAACACCAGUGGCGAAGGCGGCGCUCUGGUCUGUAACUGACGCUGAGGCUGGAAAGCGUGGGGAGCAAACAGG